UGCCAGCCGCCGCGGUAAUACGGAGGGGGCGAGCGUUAUUCGGAAUUACUGGGCGUAAAGGGUGCGUAGGCGGCCCAUCAAGUUAGACGUGAAAGCCCCGGGCUCAACCUGGGAAUUGCCCCUGAUACUGUAGUGCUUGAAUCAUGCUGAGGUCGGCGGAAUGAGUCAUGUAGCGGUGAAAUGCAUAGAUAUGACUUAGAACACCAAUUGCGAAGGCAGCUGGCUGGGUAUGAAUUGACGCUGAGGCACGAAAGCGUGGGGAGCGAACAGGAUUAGAUA
rnacentral:rRNA from 1 species